rnacentral:rRNA from 1 species
AACGCACCUUGCGCCCUUUGGUAUUCCGAAGGGCAUGCCUGUUUGAGUGUCAUUAAAUUAUCAACCUUGUUCGCUUUUACGAGCUUGAGCGAGGCUUGGAUGUGAGGGCUUGCUGGCUUCCUUCAGUGGAUGGUCUGCUCCCUUUAAAUGCAUUAGUGGGAUCUCUUGUGGACCGUCACUUGGUGUGAUAAUUAUCUAUAGCCAUUUGACUGUGAAGCAAAAUUAUGGGAACCUGCUUAUAACCGUCUCGCAAGGGACAAUUUAAUUGACUAUUUGACCUCAAAUCAGGUAGGACUACCCGCUGAACUUAA